rnacentral:rRNA from 1 species
GAUGAACGCUGGCGGCGUGCCUAAUACAUGCCAGUCGAGCGAACAGAUGAGGAGCUUGCUCCUCUGACGUUAGCGGCGGACGGGUGAGUAACACGUGGAUAACCUACCUAUAAGACUGGGAUAACUUCGGGAAACCGGAGCUAAUACCGGAUAAUAUAUUGAACCGCAUGGUUCAAUAGUGAAAGACGGUUUUGCUGUCACUUAUAGAUGGAUCCGCGCCGCAUUAGCUAGUUGGUAAGGUAACGGCUUACCAAGGCAACGAUGCGUAGCCGACCUGAGAGGGAGAUACGCCGCACUGGAAGUGAGGCAGGGAGCGGAGACGUGCGGGGGGCAGCAGGGGGGAAUAGGGGGCAAGGGGCGGAAGCCUGAUCCAGCGAUACGGAGGGAGUGAAGAAGGCGUUCGGAUCGUGAAGCGCUUUUGUUGGGAAAGAACAGAAGCAGGGUAAUACCCAGCUGCGCGGACGGGAACGAAAGAGUAAGCACCGGCUAACUUCGUG